UAGAGAACAUAUUUUCCUAACACUAUAAGGAAUGUCUCCAGGCUUAAUGACAGUAAUAUUCUUAAUAGUUGGAAGGACUUGUGGAAUAUCGGUGACCCAGAAGGAAAGCCGCAUAUCUGUGUUGGAAGGGGCUUCCAUGACCAUAGACUGCACUUACACAGCAACAGGGUACACUUAUCUCUUCUGGUAUGUCCAGUAUCCUGGAGAUGGUCUCCAGCUUCUCCUGAAAGCCAUCACAGCCAAUGAGAAGGGAAGCUAUAAAGGAUUUGAAGCCAGAUAUGACAGAGAAAACACUUCCUUCCACUUGAAGAAAGCUGCAGUCCUAGAGUCAGACUCGGCUGUGUACUACUGUGCUGUGAGUGACACAAUGGCAGAAACCACAGGGGGAGCUGAGCACAAACUGAGGGACAGCAGAGGUCUGGCAGCUGAACAUCUGCCUUUAAGAUUAUUGUGGUUUCAGCACAGUCUUAGGUGUGUGCCUUCACUUACCUCCUGAUCCAAAAUUCCACAAAUGUCAGAGGAAACAGGAAAUGGACAUCACCAUACUUAGCUGUUCAGUAGUGAACUGAAGAAGACUGGUCUGAUGGAGAGAAAGAUGUGGAAGCUUUUAGGAGUCUCAUUCAUCCUAUCCUGUGUCAGCUGUGCUGUGAGAAGGUGGCGUUGCAGAAGUCAAUAAAACAAGCAGAUUAUGGUAACCUUCUCUAUAUUGUGGAAUUUCACAUUGGAUGGUGGGGCUAUUGUGCUCAUUUUGAGAUACUAUCCAAAAAGAACAUGUCAAAAGGAACCUAAUGCUUCUCCUCUGUGUGAUUUCCAUCUAAAUGGGGUGGGCAGCUGUGUAUGUUCAGCAGAGCCCUAUGUUCAUGAGGACCCAGGAAAGAAUGCCUGCCAUUCUCAAAAGCACUUCUCAAGACAGAACAGCCUUCAACUGCCAUUAAU